rnacentral:rRNA from 1 species
UAGGGUAACCUGCCUUAUAGUGGGGGAUAGCCUUUCGAAAGGAAGAUUAAUACCGCAUAAGAUUGUAGUAUCGCAUGAUAUAGCAAUUAAAGGAGCAAUUCGCUAUAAGAUGGACCCGCGUCGCAUUAGCUAGUUGGUGAGGUGAUGGCUCACCAAGGCGACGAUGCGUAGCCGACCUGAGAGGGUGAUCGGCCACAUUGGGACUGAGACACGGCCCAGACUCCUACGGGAGGCAGCAUG